ACAUGCCUACAUCAUAGUGUUAAUGCACUGGAUCCCAUUAGAAUUUUGUAGUUAAGUGCGCUCAGGCAAGAGUAGUACUGGGAUGGGUGACCGCCUGGGAAGUCCUAGUGUUUUACAUGCC
rnacentral:rRNA from 1 species